ensembl:lincRNA
GGAAAACCUUCCUGAAGAUAGCUAAUCUCGGCCUUCUAAGUUCUUGUUGCUUGCAAUAAUAACAUGGCAGCUCUUGAUACUGGAGAUCUUACAGCUGAUCAUUAUUCUCUUUCUGGGCUUCUGGCUCCUUGUCUCUCACCCUUACCUGUGGGAGUGUAACACCCCUGCUAAGAGCAGCACGCACAUCUCUGAGCUCAUGGACCCAG